CCAGCUGCCUCUGCAGUGACUCUGGUGCGUGAUGAGCAGAGGUGGAGUGGAUGAUAGUGGCUGCACUGUUGGAGCUUGGUUUCGGAGAGGAACAGCUGAUGAUGAGCCUGGCAAUUGACUAAGAUGACAAUCGGUGCCUGUGUAUUUCUUGAGGUGGAAGGAAUUUACCAUCCAACAACCUGAGAGCUAAGUUGGGGGGCGCCUGGUAUUUGCAUA